rnacentral:rRNA from 1 species
GUGCCAGCAGCCGCGGUAAUACGUAGGUGGCAAGCGUUGUCCGGAUUUAUUGGGCGUAAAGCGAGCGCAGGCGGUUUUUUAAGUCUGAUGUGAAAGCCUUCGGCUCAACCGAAGAAGUGCAUCGGAAACUGGGAAACUUGAGUGCAGAAGAGGACAGUGGAACUCCAUGUGUAGCGGUGAAAUGCGUAGAUAUAUGGAAGAACACCAGUGGCGAAGGCGGCUGUCUGGUCUGUAACUGACGCUGAGGCUCGAAAGUAUGGGUAGCAAACAGGAUUAGAUACCCUGGUAGUCCAUACCGUAAACGAUGAAUGCUAAGUGUUGGAGGGUUUCCGCCCUUCAGUGCUGCAGCUAACGCAUUAAGCAUUCCGCCUGGGGAGUACGGCCGCAAGGCUGAAACUCAAAGGAAUUGACGGGGGCCCGCACAAGCGGUGGAGCAUGUGGUUUAAUUCGAAGCUACGCGAAGAACCUUACCAGGUCUUGACAUACUAUGCAAAUCUAAGAGAUUAGACGUUCCCUUCGGGGACAUGGAUACAGGUGGUGCAUGGUUGUCGUCAGCCCGUGUCGUGAGAUGUUGGGUUAAGUCCCGCAACGAGCGCAACCCUUAUUAUCAGUUGCCAGCAUUAAGUUGGGCACUCUGGUGAGACUGCCGGUGACAAACCGGAGGAAGGUGGGGAUGACGUCAAAUCAUCAUGCCCCUUAUGACCUGGGCUACACACGUGCUACAAUGGAUGGUACAACGAGUUGCGAACUCGCGAGAGUAAGCUAAUCUCUUAAAGCCAUUCUCAGUUCGGAUUGUAGGCUGCAACUCGCCUACAUGAAGUCGGAAUCGCUAGUAAUCGCGGAUCAGCAUGCCGCGGUGAAUACGUUCCCGGGCCUUGUACACACCGCCCGU